rnacentral:rRNA from 1 species
UACGGAGGGUGCAAGCGUUAUCCGGAUUCACUGGGUUUAAAGGGAGCGUAGGCGGUCUGUCGCGUCUGCUGUGAAAACUCGGGGCUUAACCCCGGGCCUGCAGUGGGUACGGGCAGACUAGAGUGCGGUAGGGGAGACUGGAAUUCCUGGUGUAGCGGUGAAAUGCGCAGAUAUCAGGAGGAACACCAAUGGCGAAGGCAGCACUCUGGGACGUGACUGACGCUGAGACGCGAAAGCGUGGGGAGCAAACAGG